rnacentral:rRNA from 1 species
GAUGAACGCUGGCGGCGUGCUUAACACAUGCAAGUCGAACGAAGCACCUUGAUUUGAUUCUUCGGAUGAAGAUCUUGGUGACUGAGUGGCAGACGGGUGAGUAACGCGUGGGUAACCUGCCUCAUACAGGGGGAUAACAGUUAGAAAUGACUGCUAAUACCGCAUAAGACCACAGCACCGCAUGGUGCAGGGGCAAAAACUCCGGUGGUAUGAGAUGGACCCGCGUCUGAUUAGGUAGUUGGUGGGGUAACGGCCUACCAAGCCGACGAUCUGUAGCUGGUCUGAGAGGACGACCAGCCACACUGGGACUGAGACACGGCCCAG